rnacentral:tRNA from 1 species
GCAAAGGGCUAAUGCAUUUGGCUGGUAACCAAAAGCUUGGAGGUUCGAAUCCACC